AAUCAACGCUGGCGGCGUGCCUCAGACGUGCAAGUCGAACGCGAAAGUCCCCUUCGGGGGAUGAUUAGAGUGGCGCACGGGUGAGUAACACGUAGGUAAUCUACCUUCGAGUGGUGAAUAACUCAGGGAAACUUGAGCUAAUACCGCAUAAUGCAGCGGCACCACAUGGUGACAGUCGUUAAAGCAUUUAUGCGCUUGAAGAGGAGCCUGCGGCGAUUAGCUAGUUGGUAAGGUAAUAGCUUACCAAGGCUACGAUCUGUAACCGGCCUGAGAGGGCGGACGGUCACACUGACACUGAAUAACGGGUCAGACUCUACGGGAGGCAGCAGUCGGGAAUUUUGGUCGAA
rnacentral:rRNA from 1 species